GGCAUUAUAGCCUAGUGGUAUCUUAGGGUGUGAUAAGGCUUAUAACCAUCAGGUCAUGGGUUCGAUUCUCAUAAAGGGGG
rnacentral:tRNA from 1 species